AAGUUCAGGUUGCCCAAACCAAGGGCCUUCAAAGCCCUAAACAGGAGCACCACUCUCCUAACUUCU
rnacentral:tRNA from 3 species